rnacentral:rRNA from 1 species
GACGAACGCUGGCGGCGUGCUUAACACAUGUAAGUCGAACGGAAAGGCCCUGCUUGCAGGGUACUCGAGUGGCGAACGGGUGAGUAACACGUGGGUGAUCUGCCCUGCACUUCGGGAUAAGCCUGGGAAACUGGGUCUAAUACCGGAUAGGAGCCAUUUUUAGUGUGAUGGUUGGAAAGUUUUUUCGGUGUAGGAUGAGCUCGCGGCCUAUCAGCUUGUUGGUGGGGUAAUGGCCUACCAAGGCGGCGACGGGUAGCCGGCCUGAGAGGGUGGACGGCCACAUUGGGACUGAGAUACGGCCCAGACUCCUACGGGAGGCAGCAGUGGGGAAUAUUGCACAAUGGGCGCAAGCCUGAUGCAGCGACGCCGCGUGGGGGAUGACGGCCUUCGGGUUGUAAACUCCUUUCGCUAGGGACGAAGCUUUUUGUGACGGUACCUAGAUAAGAAGCACCGGCUAACUACGUG